CAGUAGCCGCGGUAAUACGGAGGGUGCAAGCGUUAUCCGGAUUUAUUGGGUUUAAAGGGUCCGUAGGCGGACUUAUAAGUCAGUGGUGAAAGCCUGUCGCUUAACGAUAGAACUGCCAUUGAUACUGUAAGUCUUGAGUAUAUUUGAGGUAGCUGGAAUAAGUAGUGUAGCGGUGAAAUGCAUAGAUAUUACUUAGAACACCAAUUGCGAAGGCAGGUUACCAAGAUAUAACUGACGCUGAGGGACGAAAGCGUGGGUAGCGAACAGGAUUAGAUACCCGCGUAGUCCCUGUCUCUUAUAA
rnacentral:rRNA from 1 species